CCUAUGUAGGACACCCAACAAUCCAACCCUGUGCCUGAGCUUUGUCCCAAUGCUUCUUGAACUCAGACAGGUUUGGUGCUGUGAACACUUCCCUGGGGAGCCUCUUUCAGUGCUCAGCCACCCUCUGGGUGAAAAAAUUUUUUCCGGAUAUCCAACCUAAACCUCCCCUGACUCAGCUUCAUAUUGUCCAGCCUGCUCACAACCCUCUCCAGGGCUGGUUUCAGCCCAGCGCUGCAGGACUGCUGCCAGUUUCACUGGGACUUUGUGUAAAUAAGGUGUCCAGACAUGGAUACUUGAGCACCAGGCAUGCUGUAGCCAGGGAAACAGUUACAACAGCUUUCCCUACAACUCCAGCCUUCUUAAAGCCCAGACACCCACAGGUCACCCUCACAGCCUGGAAGUCACUGCUAGAAGAGAUUUCUGGAGGUUUCUUCUGAAAAAGUGAAAAAAC